rnacentral:rRNA from 1 species
GAGUUUGAUCCUGGCUCAGGAUGAACGCUAGCGGCAGGCUUAAUACAUGCAAGGCGAGGGGGCAGCAAUGUCACCGUCGUACGGGUGCGUAACGCGUAUGCAACCUACCUAUCACUGGGGGAUAGACCCGGGGAAACCCGGAUUAAUACCGCAUAAUACAUUAAGACUACCUGGUUUAAAUGUUAAAGAUUUAUUGGUGAUAGAUGGGCAUGCGUUCGAUUAGCUAGUUGGUAUGGGUAACGGCCUACCAAGGCGACGAUCGAUAGGGGAGCUGAGAGGUUGAUCCCCCACACGGGCACUGAGAUACGGGCCCGACUCCUACGGGAGGCAGCAGUAGGGAAUAUUGGGCAAUGGAUGCAAGUCUGACCCAGCCAUGCCGCGUGCCGGAUGAAGGCCCUCAGGGUUGUAAACGGCUUUUAUCCGGGAAGAAGAGCAGGGAUGCGUCCCUGUGUGACGGUACCGGAUGAAUAAGCACCGGCUAACUCCGUG